GGAGAAGUCGCGUAGUUGGUCGAGCGCGCGCGAUUGGAAAUCGCGUAACGGGUAACACCGUUCGAGAGUUCGAAUCUCUCCUUCUCCGCCA
rnacentral:tRNA from 1 species